GAAGCGGCCACAUACGAGGGCUGUGCUCCGAUUUUCACCGCCUUGCUCUCCUUUCCCAGGAUGCUCUGUUAUAGGUACACGUCCCCGGGCUCAGCACAGUGCCUGGGAGAAGCAGGUGCCACCACUCAGAGCCUAUGGCCCCCAGAGGGCCAGUGAGUUCCCCAUCCCCCGACCCCUGGCGACAAGGUCAGGACCUCUCUCAUGGGUACACUGUGGUUCAUCCACCUGGACUGAUACUGGAAAACACCCCAGACAGUUCCAGAAACACGAUAAAAGUUCACAGACUGGAGAACAGAAGCAUAGACUCGAGAGACAGGUUUGAAAGUGAAAACACUACAAAGUGCAAGUUUCAAAAAAAGAACAUUCGGGUGAACUCAAGAUCCUCACUCAUUUAAUUUCUAGGGAAAAUUACUUUCCAGUGGAAACCAGAGGGGGAAAUGUUAAAGUAUAA
rnacentral:lncRNA from 1 species